UCCGGCGAACGGGCGAUCGCGUCGGUCAAACGGCGAGGAAAGUCCGAGCACGAGAGGACAACGGUGGUGGGUAACACCCACCGGCCCGUGGGCUGCGGGUCAGGGAAAGUGCCACAGAAAAGAAACCGCCGAUGUGACUUCGGUCGCAGGCAAGGGUGAAAAGGUGCGGUAAGAGCGCACCGCCCGUUCCGGUGACGGACGGGGCACGGCAAACCCCACCGCGUGCAAGCGCAAGCAGCUUCAGUCGGGGGUCGACCGGAAACGAUCGACCCUCGGAUCCGUGGUCCGCGGAUUGAAGCGGGUGGCGUGCUGGAGGGCGUCGGCAACGACGUUCCCAGAGAAAUGAUCGCCGCGGCGGCCUCGAUCGGGGGUCGUUCGACGGAACUCGGCUUACAGUUCGUCCCAGCCC
rnacentral:RNase_P_RNA from 1 species